rnacentral:rRNA from 1 species
ACAAUGGCAGGUACANAGGGGUGCUACCGGGUGACCGGAUGCCGAUCUCGAAAACCUGUCCCAGUUCGGACUGGAGUCUGCAACCCGACUCCACGAAGUUGGAUUCGCUAGUAAUCGCGCAUCAGCCAUGGCGCGGUGAAUACGUUCCCGGGCCUUGUACACACCGCCCGUCAAGCCAUGGGAGCCGGGGGCGCCUGAAGUCCGGGACCGCGAGGACCGGCCUAAGGCGAAACUGGUGACUGGGGCUAAGUCGUAACAAGGUAGC